UACGAAGGGUGCGAGCGUUGUUCGGAAUUAUUGGGCGUAAAGGGUUCGUAGGCGGUUAUGCAAGUCAAGUGUGAAAACCCUGGGCUCAACCUUGGGCGUGCAUUUGAAACUGCGUAUCUUGAGUUUUGGAGAGGGUGGUGGAAUUGCUGGUGUAGGAGUGACAUCCGUAGAGAUCAGCAGGAACACCGGAGGCGAAGGCGACCACCUGGCCGUAGACUGACGCUGAGGAACGAAAGCGUGGGGAGCAAAC
rnacentral:rRNA from 1 species